GAGAACCAGCAGCACGGGUGGAAGCAGCAGUGGGAAACCCCAGCUGCUCCGCGGAAAGCCGAGGCUGGCGCUCUGUUCAUCGGAGCAGAAGUGGCAUCACAGAAAGCACAUGAGGUUGGAUAAAACAGAAGGACAAGGAAAUCACUGCAUUCUCAAGGUCAUCCAAUAUAUCAGAAUUGAUGGAGUCCUGCCUGACUCACCUGCUAUGAGAAUAUGCAGCUGCAUCACACACCUGGGUUUAUUCAACUUAGAUGAUGAAGUCACUCAUAUAUGAAACAAGGAACCUGGAAUUCGUGAACAUAUUUAUCUUUGAUUAGCAAGAGCCUCUUUCAUAUCAAUAGGAAAUGAAACCAUAAGAAAAAACUACCUGAAGUACUCGAGACAGGAACUGCUGUAUCAUAAUGACUGUGUUCCCAUAGUGAUCUCACAAGAUAUGCAAAAACCUGGGGCCACUUUGCAGUCAGCACACAACUAUGGAUUGAUAAUGAGCCUGUUGGUGGAUGGUGGGAGUCUGCCUGUAGCUGCAAAGUCCUUGCAGCAGGUAAAAACAUUCACCAGUAAUAGGAUGCUGAAAGCUUCCAUAGAACUCUGCUGUCUUGAAAGUACCCUGAUGCACAACUGUCAAAGAUUUCGAAACACAGGAUAAAAAAAAUAAAAAUUGAACAAUGUGGAGAUGAGCAACUUUGUAUGGUGCCAAGUCCAUGAUCAACCUCCAGACCAACAGGCCACCUUUGAAUAGGGUCACACUGGUAGGGUUUGUCCUUGACCCAGCAAAUCAAGCUGUUUGCACUUUAAACUGCGUGAACGAGACUUCCCGUUGUGGCUCAGUAGGUUACAAACCCAACUAGUAUCCAUGAGGACAAGGGUUCAAUCCCUGGCCUUGAUCAAUGGGUUAAGGAUCUGCUGUAGCCGUGAGCUGUGGUGUAGGUUGCAGAUGAGGCUCGGAUCUGGUGUGGCUCUGGCUCCAGUAUAGACUGGCAGCUGCGGCUCCGAUUCGCCCGCAGCUAGCCUGGAAACUUUCAUAUCCUGCAGGUGCGACCCUAAAAAAAAUAAUAAUAAAUUAAAUUAAGAUAAAAUGCAUAGACAGUAGGAUAAGCAUUGCAAUGGAUUUGAACUUGAGUUCUGCUUUUUAGCCACCAAGCUCCUCUUUCUAGCACUGGGCCUAUAGCAUGGUGGGUAAGGGUGUGACCACAACUGCUUCCCAUUGCUCUGAAGCUGGGAUGUGGAGCAAGGCACGCCACAAGGACAAAGGCCACAUGACAGUGGAAUGUUUGGGAGGAAAGGGAAGCCCAUUACCUAACCUGGUGUCACAAUUAGACUCAGGGUAGGUCAGCACAAGCAAAUGGGAGGCAGAAAGAGCCAUGACAAUUUUGGAAACCAGUCCUACAGAUGAAUAGAGAGUCACAACCAGAAGCCACCUUUUACAUCCUGGCUCAGUGUCAGAGAGGAUGCUAAGGCCUCCUGCACAGACAGUGUCAGGAAGAGAGCAACAGUGGCUCCCUCUGCACCGUCUAAGGGGAAGACUAGAGCCAGAAGACAUGGCUGUUUCUGACGCUGCUGCCUACGAGCUGUGGAACCUUAGGGGUGUCUCUUAAGCUGUCCGAGACACAGUUUUUCUCAUGUGUCACCAAAGACCUCUUCGGAGGAGCAUUUGACACUGGCACCCACUCUGACCAUGAAGUGCCUUCCUUCCUCCACUGACUUCUCUAAUCCCUGGUCUCAGCCGCAAUACCACGCUGACCACGCCUCCUGCACUUCUCCUCCCAUGCCACAUGCUAGGCAACCCAGUUCACCCUCAAAUGCCAAUCACCAUGGUAUUUGCCAGUCUUUAUCUCAGCACCAACCUUUCUCAGGGUCCUUGGACAAGUAUUUCCAAGUGCCUACAGAUUUGGAUAUUUCCCCCUAGAUAUUCCUCAGGCAGCUUAAGGUCGUUAUGUUUCAUGUCAAAGGUCAUAUUGUCCUCUUUUCCCUUAGAAUCUCUCCUCCAGGUAACACCAUCACCAGCCACUCACCUAGAAACACGGGGUUUGUCACUUCUCCCUCCUCUCCCUCAGCAUAGGAUCAAAACAGAAUCUGUUUUUCAAAUACAUCCCUUCUUCUUCAGUACACACCCACUGUUUUAGUUCUGCCCCCUCAUUUUUUUUUUUUUUUGGUCUGUUCUAUUACAGUAGUGACAGAGGCUAUUAAUUUUCUGCCAGUAUUCAUUUCUUGAUCUCUCUUGUGGUAUAGAACCCCAAGUGUUUUUUUGUUUGCUUGUUUUGUGUUUUUUUUUUUUUUCUCUUUUGUCUAUUCUAGGGCCAUACCUGUGGCAUAUGGAGGCUUCCAGGAUAGGGGUCUAAUCAGAGCUGUAGCCACCUGCCUACACCACAGCCACAGCAACACCAGAUCCUUAAUCUACUGAGCAAGGCCAGGGAUCAAACCCAUAACCUCAUGGCUCUUAGUCAGAUUUGUUAACCACUGAGCCACGACAGGAACUCCUAGAACCCCAAGUUUUAACUGGACACAGGCUCUCCAAGUAGAGACUACAGUUCCCAAGUUUCCUCAUAACCAGAUGGUCACAUGACUAGGUGUCAGCCAAUAGGAUGUCAGAAGUGAUUCAUUCACCUUCUAGGCACUUUCUCUGAAACGGAAAUGGUUUGCACUCUUUGUGCUUUCUUUCUACCUUUCCACAGGCUCAUCCCACCGUUGUAACCAUAGAUGAGGAUAAAAAUCUUAGGCACCUGUUCCUUGGAACCACCAGAGGGCUUGCUAAAGCAUUGGUGGCUGGGCCCCACCAUAUGCAUUUUUAGUAAAGUUCCCAGGUGAUACUGAUGCUGCUGGUCCAGGGACUACACUUUAGGGACCACUGUCUUGGCGGGGAUAGGAGAGCAGCAAAGUUAAAAGGAAACUCAGUCCCCAAGUGGCCUCAUGGAGCAGUGCCACUUCUGUGGCCCUUGACCACUCAUUUUCUGACUGUUACAUGAGAAAGAAAUUCUCUUGUUCUGGUCUUAUGUUGAGUCUCUAUGUUUAGGAAGCUUAGCUAAUACCCAAAUAAUAUGCGCUGUAGUCCAUCCUUCAUGGUUCAACUUACAUGACAUUUUUUUUUUUUCUUAUUAGGGCCGCACCUGCAGCAUAUAGAAGUUCCCAGGCUAGUGGUUGAAUCAGAGCUGUAGCUGCCAACCUAUGCCACAGGCGCAGCAACACAGGAUCCAAGCCACAUCUGCAACCUACACCACAGCAUAUGGCAGUGCCAGAUCCUUAACCCACUGAGUGAGGCCAGGGAUUAAAACCACCUCCUCGUGGAUGCUGGUUGGGUUCGUCACUGCUAAGCCAUGAUGGGGGCUCCAGGCCUUGAUUUUUCUUUUCUUUUCUUUUUUUUUUUUUGUGUUCUGUCUUUUUAGAGCUGCACCUGCGACAUAUGGAGGUUCCCAGGCUAGGGGUUGAAUCAGGGCUGGAGCUGCCGUCCUACACCACAGCCACAGCAAUGUGGGAUCUGAGCUGCCUCGGCAACCUACACCACAGCUCAGGGCAACACCGGAUCCUUAACCCACUGAGCAAGGCCAGAGAUUGAACUUGUGUCCUCAUGGAUGCUAGUUGGGUUUGUUAACCACUGAGCCACAAUGGGAACUCCCUCCAGGCCUUGAUUUCUAAUAACCAUUUUGUACCCCCAAGUGCACCUCAGGAUCUGCUUCUAGAGAACCCCAUCAGUGACACUGCCUGAAGUCAUGGAGCUAGUACGUGGUGAGGCUGGACUUCUGACACAAGCAGUCCACCCAUAACCACAUGUCCAUAGCAAGUUGCAAAACCUGCUCAUGGGAUAGAUACAAGUUCCCCAGGGCGGCAUUCAAGGCCCUUUAUGAUUUGAUUCCAAUCUUCUUUGCUCACAUUACUUCCCACACUCCCCAUGAUGGGCCUAGUCCAUUGCCAUACCAAGCAUUUGCUCAAGUGGCAUUUUGACAGGAAUGCUCUUCCUUCUCCCAACUAGGUUCUUCCAGGUCUAGUUCAAGCAGCAGCUCAUCCCCGAGGCCUCUUUAAGACCCCUGGAGAGUAAGUAACAUCACAGGGUAAUGACUACCGGCCAGGAGUCCAGUGGGCCUUGUUCGAAUUCCAACUCGGUGACAUAUCUGUGUGACCUAGAGAGAAUUUGCUCAUGCCGUCUCCUGUCUAUACUGUGGGGCUCAUAAUAAUUACCUCUCUGGGUUGUGAAUGAAACAAAACCUGUAAAUCACCCAGCCCAGGGCUCCUCAGACUUUAACAGACCUAGAGAGGUCCUGAAUAUCUAAAACACAGAUUCUGCAUCAGUAGGUCUAGGAUGGGGCCUGAAAUUCAGCAUUUCUAAUAAGCAUACAGGGGAUGCGGAUGCUGGUGGUCUGCGGACCACACUUUGAGGAACGAGGCCAUAGCAGGUGCCUGGCCCUUCUUUGGCCCUCACUGAUGUUUGCUUCUUGCCACCCCCUGCUUUACUCCUUCCUCUUGGCGCCUCUAACAUUUUGUUCCUACCACUUGCGUAAUGCUCACCACACAUACUUUACUUAGUUGCUAUAUCUGUGUCUCCCACCAGACUGUGAGCGAUUUGAGGAUAGAAACUGUAUCUUCCUCUCAGUAUCCCCAGGACCCAGCAUAGAACCAGAUAUAUAAAAAGGAAUCAAUCAAAGUCUAAUGAACUGAGCCUAUAAAAUGGAAAUAAGAAUAUCAACUCUGCCUGUCUCAACAAGUCGUUGUAAUGAGCAGAAGCGAUAAUUUGGGAGAGCGUGGCAAUAUGUAUCAGUGUGGUGCAAAUAUAAAGUAUUAUUAUCCUUCAGCUUCCCGCUCGGCACCGGUUCAGAUUUAUGCAGUUGAAGUAUGUUUACUUGCGGCAGUUGCUCAGACUCUGAUGAUUAUAAAACUCCAAUUCAGCUAUGGUUUAAAAAUAAACCAAAUUCUCUUUGGGAUAAUAACUGCGGCGCUCUUUGCCUAUGGUGAGAAACUAAUCAUAAUGAUGUAAAUGAAAAGGGCAGCUCAUCCAAUCAAUCAAUCAAGAAGUGGGCACGGAGAGCCUCUCUCCAGAUGGUACUGGGCUUUCUUAUUUGCCUCCUCCAAGUGAUGGAGAGAUAUCCGCCUUAUCAUCUCCCACCUGAUUGAAGGUGGGGCGAUUCAUGCCGGGAGGGCAGGAUCAGAAGUAGCAUAGAUGUGAGGAGUUCCCAUCAUGGUGCAGCAGAAACAAAUCCGACUGGGAACCAUGAGGUUUCGAGUUCGAUCCCUGGCCUCUCUCAGUGGGUUAAGUGUCUGGCGUUGUUAUGAGCUGUGGUGUAGGUUGCAGAUGCAGCUCAGAUCCGGCAUUGUGACUGUGGUGUAGGCUGGCAGCUGUAGCUCCAAUUGGACUCCCUAGCCUGCAAAACUUCAUAUGCUGCAGGUGCAGCCCUAAAAAGACAAAAAAAAAAAAAAAAAAA
ensembl:lncRNA